CACUCAGUCACUCACUAGAGCUAUGCUGGCUGAAAACACUGCUUAUUGGCUGAUUCAUAGCGAGGAUACAUUGUGGAUACAUUGACUGAAACUCUCAGGUUGGCUGAUUGAGUAAUACUCCAGGUCAGGUUUACUGACUGAGCGAGAUUCUCAGUCUCUGCUCAUUGAGUGAGGAUCCCAGGGAUUACUGACUGAGUGAGGAUCCCAGGGAUUACUGACUGAGUGAGGAUCCCAGGAUUACUGACUGAGUGAGGUUGCCAGGAUUACUGACUGAGUGAGGUUGCCAGGAUUACUGACUGAGUGAGGUUCCCAGGAUUACUGACUGAGUGAGGCUCCCAGGAUUACUGACUGAGUGAGGCUCCCAGGAUUACUGACUGAGUGAGGAUCCCAGGGAUUACUGACAGAGUGAGGUUCCCAGGAUUACUGACUGAGUGAGGUUGCCAGGGAUUACUGACUGAGUGAGGCUCCCAGGGAUUACUGACAGAGUGAGGUUCCCAGGAUUACUGACUGAGUGAGGAUCCCAGGAUUACUGACUGAGUGAGGCUCCCAGGAUUACUGACUGAGUGAGGCUCCCAGGAUUACUGACUGAGUGAGGAUCCCAGGCUGUGCUGUGUAAGGAAGACUUUGCCCCUGGAACAGAAUCCAGAGAAUUGAACAGGAACUGUGAAG
rnacentral:lncRNA from 1 species